rnacentral:rRNA from 1 species
ACAGGGCGUUCAGUAGCUGGGCGUAGACCCGAAACCGGAUGAUCUAUCCAUGGCCAGGUUGAAGGUGCGGUAACACGCACUGGAGGACCGAACCCACUAGUGUUGCAAAACUAGGGGAUGAGCUGUGGAUAGGGGUGAAAGGCUAAACAAAUCCGGAGAUAGCUGGUUCUCCUCGAAAACUAUUUAGGUAGUGCCUCGUGUAUCACUCUCGGGGGUAGAGCACUGUAAUCGUUGGGGGGGUCGUCUAGAUCUACCCCGCGAUAGCAAACUCCGAAUACCGAGAAGUGCAAGCACGGGAGACAGACAUCGGGUGCUAACGUCCGGUGUCAAGAGGGAAACAACCCAGACCGCCAGCUAAGGUCCCUAAUAUGUGCUAAGUGGUAAACGAAGUGGGAAGGCAUAGACAGCUAGGAAGUUGGCUUAGAAGCAGCCAUCCUUUAAAGAAAGACGUAAUAGCUCACUAGUCGAGUCGUCCUGCGCGGAAGA